ACACUAGUAGUAAAAUUUAUUACAUUAAUUUUCCAAAUUAAAAUUCUAUUUAUAUAGCUAGUGUA
rnacentral:tRNA from 1 species